rnacentral:lncRNA from 1 species
AAACUUGCAACUCGAGAAGUUCGGCUAAUCAUGAGAGACGAUAUACAAAACUCUUCCCAUUUGUAAUUCCUUCUUCUCGCAUCUCUUUUUUUUCUAUAUUCUUUCUCACGAUUUUUUUUUUCUUUUUCAGGAAUUGGCAUCACCCAGAAAGGAAGCUCGAAUCUACAAACCUUCAGUAAUUUAGAUGGUUGUUUUGAUAUUAAACUUGGCCAUAGUUUCAAGCUUUGUGUCGUUGGCACUGUUACCUGUCACGCUAAUCCAAACUUUGAGUUGCGAGUACAUUUAUCUAUCAUGACGAGUUGAAGCCUUGUGUCAUUGACAUCGGUAUCUCCUACUGAAUCGAAGCUUCGUGUCAUUGGCACCAAUCAACUAGACAGAACCAAAAGCUUCGUUCCAUUGGCACUGAGGCCUCCAAAAUCUUUUCCCUUAUGCUGCAGAAUCUGUCUGUGAUAGUCAUCUUUAGGCAUCUGUGAAGAAAACUAUCAUGUGUUGUCGUAGGAACACCAGAAACACAAGCCGUAUGAUCCUCUUGAAUACUUCAACAUAUCAAAAUUUUGGGGCAAAAUUCCUUCUAUAGCUUCUCAGGUAUUAUUUUGAAAUUUUGUUUCAAAUGCUGUCAUGCUCAAAUUUACAGCUUUGCCCGCCUUCACCAGAAGACCCAUAUCUUGGCGUAGCAAUGUCGAAAUCACGAGUGGUUUAUGGCUCAGAAACUAGACUUCCAGAGCUGCAAAUUAUAUAACGAUCACAAUCACAUUGACCCUAUCUCUUCCCAGAUAUAUUCUAGAAGUUAGGCGAUGAGUUUCGACAUGCGAGCUCUUUUAGCUUUGUGCGCUCUCACCGAAUUGAAAUAUGUUCAACAAUAUCUUUUUGUUUUUUACAGGCGAAAAGGUACAUGAAGACUUCGUAUCUAUUGAGCUUUGGCGUAGACGACUUAUUGUAACUUAGCGAAUAAAUUCAUGGAGCAUCCUCUUCUUAUAGUUGGCUGGAGAUGUACAUGGCAUUCCAAGUCCCAGUUUUUGUGAAGAAGUAAAAGGAGCACUCUCUUUUUGAAAUUUGUCAUAGAAGGAUAGAUGAAGUUGUUAAGUAAUUAGUCGUGUAUAGUAUCCCACGUCGCA